rnacentral:rRNA from 1 species
GGUUGUGAUCAUACCAGCACUAAUGCACCGGAUCCCAUCAGAACUCCGCAGUUAAGCGUGCUUAGGCGAGAGUAGUACUAGGAUGGGUGACCCCCUGGGAAGUCCUCGUGUUGCAACCC